rnacentral:pre_miRNA from 7 species
GACCGCCAGUGAAAAUCGAUUUUCACUGGCGGUCGGCGUAAUAAAACCGCCAGUGAAAAUCGAUUUUCACUGACGGUC